UACGACCACAUCACGUUGAAACAUUGCUUCCCGUAUGAUCCCCGAAGUUAAGCAACGUCAAACCUGGUCAGUAUCUAGAUAGGUAAUAGCUUGGGAAUACCAGGUGUUGUAUG